rnacentral:rRNA from 1 species
CGUGAGUGAUGAAGGUUUUCGGAUCGUAAAGCUCUGUUGUUAGGGAAGAACAAGUGCCGUUCGAAUAGGGCGGCACCUUGACGGUACCUAACCAGAAAGCCACGGCUAACUACGUGCCAGCAGCCGCGGUAAUACGUAGGUGGCAAGCGUUGUCCGGAAUUAUUGGGCGUAAAGCGCGCGCAGGUGGUUCCUUAAGUCUGAUGUGAAAGCCCACGGCUCAACCGUGGAGGGUCAUUGGAAACUGGGGAACUUGAGUGCAGAAGAGGAAAGUGGAAUUCCAAGUGUAGCGGUGAAAUGCGUAGAUAUUUGGAGGAACACCAGUGGCGAAGGCGACUUUCUGGUCUGUAACUGACACUGAGGCGCGAAAGCGUGGGGAGCAAACAGGAUUAGAUACCCUGGUAGUCCACGCCGUAAACGAUGAGUGCUAAGUGUUAGGGGGUUUCCGCCCCUUAGUGCUGCAGCUAACGCAUUAAGCACUCCGCCUG